UACGAGGGGUCCUAGCGUUGUUCGGAAUCAUUGGGCGUAAAGAGCAUGUAGGCGGCUUUUCAAGUCAGAUGUGAAAGCCCACGGCUUAACCGUGGAAAUGCAUUUGAAACUGCUAAGCUUGAGUGCGAAAGAGGAUGGUAGAAUUCCAGGUGUAGUGGUGAAAUACGUAGAUAUCUGGAGGAAUACCGGAGGCGAAGGCGGCCAUCUGGUUCGCUACUGACGCUGAGAUACGAAAGCGUGGGGAUCAAACAGG
rnacentral:rRNA from 1 species